UACGGAGGGUGCAAGCGUUAUCCGGAUUUACUGGGUUUAAAGGGUGCGUAGGUGGGUAGGUAAGUCAGUGGUGAAAUCUUCGAGCUUAACUCGGAAACUGCCAUUGAUACUAUUUAUCUUGAAUACUUUGGAGGUAAGCGGUAUAUGUCAUGUAGCGGUGAAAUGCUUAGAUAUGACAUAGAACACCAAUUGCGAAGGCAGCUUACUACACAGUCAUUGACACUGAGGCACGAAAGCGUGGGGAUCAAACAGG
rnacentral:rRNA from 1 species